rnacentral:rRNA from 1 species
AGAGUUUGAUCCUGGCUCAGAGUGAACGCUUGCGGCGUGGAUUAGGCAUGCAAGUCGAGCGAUCCUUGCUAAUGUUUUUUUGGAGUGCUUGCACAAAGGAUAAACAGAGGCGCUGGAUAGCGGCAAACGGGUGAGUAACGCGUAGAUAUCUUCCCUAAAGACGGGCAAAGCAUCGUGAAAACGGUGGUAAUUCCCGAUACGGUGGUGAAGUCAUAUGAUUUUACCAUUAAAGGUGGGGACCCCUCGGGGCCUGCCACUUUAGGAUGAGUCUGCGUCCUAUCAGCUUGUUGGUGGGGUAACGGCCUACCAAGGCAUUUGACGGGUAGCUGGUCUGAGAGGAUGAUCAGCCACACUGGGACUGAGACACUGCCCAGACUCCUACGGGGGGCUGCAGUCGAGAAUAUUUAUCAAUGGACGAAAGUCUGAAUAUGCGACGCCGCGUGCAGGAUGAAGGCCUUCGGGUUGUAAACUGCUUUUAUCAGGAAAGAAACCUGCAUGGAUAAUACCCAUGCAGCUGACGGUACCUGAGGAAUAAGCCACGGCCAACUCCGUGCCAGCAGCCGCGGUAAUACGGAGGUGGCGAGCGUUACUCGGAAUUAUUGGGUGUAAAGGGCAAGUAGGCGGCUUAAUAAGUGAGGGGUGAAAUCCUGCGGCUCAAUCGCAGAACUGCCUUUCAAACUGUUAAGCUUGAGGAUGGAAGAGGGAAACGGAAUUAGCAGUGUAAGGGUGAAAUCUGUAGAUAUUGCUAAGAACACCAGCGGCGAAGGCGGUUUCCUGGUCCAUAUCUGACGCUAAAUUGCGAAAGCUAGGGGAGCAAACAGAAUUAGAUACUCUGGUAGUCCUAGCCGUAAACGAUGAGUACUAGGUGUCGGCCCUUCGGGGGCGGUGCCGCAGCUAACGCAUUAAGUACUCCACCUGGGGACUACGGCCGCAAGGCUAAAACUCAAAGGAAUUGACGGGGACCCGCACAAGCGGUGGAACAUGUGGUUUAAUUCGAUGCUACGCGAAGAACCUCACCAAGGCUUGACAUGUAGUGAGUAGGGUAUCCGAAAGGUGACCGAACCGUUAAGUCGGUAAGCUACACAGGUGCUGCAUGGCUGUCGUCAGCUCGUGUCGUGAGAUGUUGGGUUAAGUCCCGCAACGAGCGCAACCAUUGCCCUAUGUUGCCACCUUAUCCUUCGGGAUAAGCGCACUCUUAGGGGACUGCCCGGGAUAACCGGGAGGAAGGUGGAGAUGACGUCAAGUCAGUACGGCCCUUAUGCCUUGGGCUACACACGUGUUACAAUGCCUAGUACAAAGGGUUGCCAACCCGCGAGGGGGAGCUAAUCUCAAAAAGCUAGGCUCAGUUCGGAUUGAAGUCUGCAAUUCGACUUCAUGAAGCCGGAAUCGCUAGUAAUGGAAGAUCAGAUACGCUUCCAUGAAUACGUUCCCGGGUCUUGUACACUC